CAGAUAACUCCUCCCAAUAAACUUCCUGCAUGUGAAUCUCCAACACAGAGUGUUUUUGCCAAGAACUCAACCUAUGGCAGCAGCAAACCUCUGUGGCUCAAGGAAAUCUCCAUUGGAUGUCCUGUCUCAUCUACUCAAGACCAGUAAGCAACACUUACUUAAAAAGAACAUAAUCUCUUUAUUUCUGCUUGGGAUACAAAUGUUCAGUUUGGAUGAUGAGAAUGAGGCAAGUACUGGAGACAAUGGCUGGCUCUCCUGUUUGUCCCAAUAAACUCCAAUGGAGGAAGAAGCUAAACAGGUUUUGGAUGGUUUCGGUCUACUGCAUCUAGCUUAUCAAAUCUACAGCCUGGUACUUCUGGAACAAGACUGCCCUGCCCCAGUGAUGACAGUUAAAGAUGGCAAAAAUGAAGAAUUCAACAUGUAUACGCAGUGCAGUCUGAUGUCUUCAGAUGUUCUCUAAAAUUCUGUAUUUGGUCAGAGCUGGGAGUGAGAUCAGGGUGCUUGCACAUUUCUGCUCCACUGCUCCUGAUUCUGCUUUGCUGCCUUGGAGGGAGAGUAGAUUUAGAUCUGGGGGCUGGUGGGGGCCAUGGCCUUGGCAGCUUGCUGGGCUAACCAGUACUUAUAUCUUUUGGUCUUGGGCUUCUCAAAGU
rnacentral:lncRNA from 1 species